CCCAAAAUCAGUGACUAAAAUCCCUAACCAAACAGCCCCUUUCUCUUUCUUCUUCAACUAAACAGACCGAACGUCACCACCUUCCACCAUCGCCGCCACCCCACCUCCCAUCACGUCACUUCACCACCACCACGCCUAUAUCCCACAAAAUCCGCUACCUACACCCCUAUUCUCCUUUCUCACACUCCAUCUCUGAAGCUUGCAGGCUCCAUGUGCGAUUUCAUGGAGCUCUUCAAGAGGAUUCGGAGACCCGACGACGACAUUAGCCUCAGUUGGCUGUCCCGGAGAAGAAUCGUUGCGGCAAUUCAAGGCAAACAGAUGCUGCAUUUUGAGCCAACGCGUUUCUGCACUUCUGGGAAAAUAGCUACUGCUAUGUUUUUUUUUUAAUGAGCAGCUGCAUUUUAGAAAUAUUGUUGCUGCCUUGUUUUAAAAUAUAAUGAGUAAAUGUUACAUUGAAAGAACAAA